rnacentral:tRNA from 2 species
GGCCUCGUGGCCUAAUGGAUAAGGCGCCAGCCUCCGGAGCUGGAGAUUGCGGGUUCGAGUCCCGUCGAGGUCG